GAUGAAGAACGUAGCGAAAUGCGAUAAGUAGUGUGAAUUGCAGAAUUCAGUGAAUCAUCGAAUCUUUGAACGCACAUUGCGCCCGCUAGUAUUCUGGCGGGCAUGCCUGUCCGAGCGUCAUUUCAACCCUCAAGCCCCCGGGCUUGGUGUUGGGGAUCGGCGAGCCUCCGCGCCCGCCGUCCCCUAAAUCUAGUGGCGGUCUCGCUGUAGCUUCCUCUGCGUAGUAGCACACCUCGCACUGGGAAACAGCGCGGCCACGCCGUUAAACCCCCAACUUCUGAACGUUUGACCUCGGAUCAGGUAGGAAUACCCGCUGAACUUAAGCAUAUCAAUAAGCGGAGGA
rnacentral:misc_RNA from 1 species